UAAUACAGAGGUGGCAAGCGUUGUUCGGAAUUACUGGGCGUAAAGGGCGCGUAGGCGGCCAUCUAAGUCAGACGUGAAAUCCCCCGGCUUAACCUGGGAACUGCGUCUGAUACUGGACGGCUUGAGUAUGGGAGAGGGAUGUAGAAUUCCAGGUGUAGCGGUGAAAUGCGUAGAUAUCUGGAGGAAUACCGGUGGCGAAGGCGGCAUCCUGGACCAUUACUGACGCUGAGGCGCGAAAGCUAGGGGAGCAAACGGGA
rnacentral:rRNA from 1 species